rnacentral:rRNA from 1 species
UCCGUAGGUGGAUAAUUAAGUCAGAGGUGAAAUCCUGCAGCUCAACUGUAGAAUUGCCUUUGAUACUAGUUAUCUUGAGUCAUUAUGAAGUGGUUAGAAUGUGUAGUGUAGCGGUGAAAUGCAUAGAUAUUACACAGAAUACCGAUUGCGAAGGCAGAUCACUAAUAAUGUACUGACACUGAUGGACGAAAGCGUGGGGAGCGAACAGGAUUAGAUACCCUGGUAGUCC